rnacentral:rRNA from 1 species
CACGUAGGGAGCAAGCGUUGUCCGGAUUUAUUGGGCGUAAAGAGCUCGUAGGCUGUUCGAUAAGUCGGGUGUGAAACCUCCAGGCUCAACCUGGAGACGCCACCCGAUACUGUCAUGACUAGAGUCCGGUAGGGGAGCGUGGAAUUCCUGGUGUAGCGGUGAAAUGCGCAGAUAUCAGGAGGAACACCCGUGGCGAAAGCGGCUCUCUGGAACGGUACUGACGCUGAGACGCGAAAGCGUGGGGAGCGAACAGG